GGCGCCGCUGCCGCCGCUCUUGAGGCUGCCGCUGUCCCCGUCGCCGUCGCCGCGCAGAGCCGGAGCCCGAGCCGGAGCCACGGCCGAGAGGAGGGAGGAGGAGGUGGAGGAGGAGGUGGAGGAGGCGCCGGACCCGGGGGAUUGUCAGUAUUUAAACAGACCACAUCAUGCGUGAGUACAAGCUAGUGGUCCUUGGUUCAGGAGGCGUGGGAAAGUCUGCUCUGACAGUUCAAUUUGUUCAAGGAAUUUUUGUUGAAAAAUAUGACCCAACGAUAGAAGAUUCCUACAGAAAGCAAGUUGAAGUAGAUUGCCAACAGUGUAUGCUGGAAAUCCUGGAUACAGCAGGGACAGAACAAUUUACAGCUAUGAGGGAUUUGUAUAUGAAGAAUGGCCAAGGGUUUGCACUAGUAUAUUCUAUUACAGCUCAGUCCACGUUUAAUGAUUUACAGGAUUUAAGGGAACAGAUUUUACGGGUUAAGGACACAGAAGAUGUUCCAAUGAUUUUGGUUGGCAAUAAAUGUGACCUGGAAGAUGAGCGAGUAGUUGGCAAAGAACAGGGCCAGAAUUUAGCAAGACAGUGGUGUAACUGUGCCUUUCUAGAAUCUUCUGCAAAGUCAAAGAUCAACGUUAAUGAGAUUUUUCUAUAGUUCAGAGAGAUGAGGAAGAACCUAGGCUGGGGACUUUCAGCAUUUCUAACCCAAUAUUAUAGUUCGAACUUGCCCUCAUCACUGAACCAUCUGCUGCUGUGAGGAAAUACACACUCAACCAUUAAGAGAUCUGUGGUGUGCAUACUACUCGCAAAUGGUUCAGAAAAUAAAUAUGUGUAUGGAGAGACAAAAAAAUAGUAAAGUAAAAGUGGCAAAAUGUUACUGAGUGGUGGAUCUAGGAAGAAUAUACAGAAGUUCUUUGGUACUUUCUUACAACUUUUCUAUAUUUUAUGACCUGGUCAGACAAAUAAAUAGAAAAACACCAGUGGAAAAGAAGAAGCCUAAAAAGAAAUCAUGUCUGCUGCUUUAGAUGUGAAGUCAGCAGCAGCUCUGAGCCAGAUUAUAGGAAUGAAGAACUGUUGCCUAAUUGGAAAGUGCCAGCAUUCCAGACUUCAAAAAAUAAAUCCGAAGAGGCUUCUCCUGUUUUAUAUAUUAUGUGAAGAAUUUAGAUAUUAUAUUGGUUUGCACAAAGUUCUCGGGAGAAAAAAAUUGCUCUGUGUAUAUCUCUUGGAAAGUAAGACAAUAGUAUUUCUCCUUUGCAAUAGCAGUUAUAACAGAUGUGAAAAUAAAUAUACUUGACUCUAAUACAAUUAUACAAAAGAGCAUGGAUGCAUUUUAAAUGUUAGAUAUUGCUACUAUAAUCAAAUAAUUUCAUAUUGAUCUUUUUAUCAUGAUUCUUCCCUGUCAAGCACUAAAAAGUUGAACCAUUAUACUUUAUAUCUGUAAUAUCAAUUAUGAAACUUUUCCUCAACUCAUUGCAGCAGAUAACUUUUUUGAGUCAUUAAUUUCAUUUUAUAUUUAAAAAUUAUGAAAUAUCAUCUGUCAUAUUCUAAUUAAAAUUGUGCAUACUGCUUUGGAAAAAUGGGUCUUUUAUAGGAAAAAACUGGGAUAACUGAUUUCUAUGGCUUUCAAAGCUAAAAUAUAUAAUAUACUAAACCAACUCUAAUAUUGCUUCUUGUGUUUUACUGUCAGAUUAAAUUACAGCUUUUAUGAAUGAUUAAAUUUUAGUACAUUUUCAUUUGGUUUGUGUGUUUUUGUUAUUGUUUAUAGAUCUAAAACCUUUAUUUUAUAAUGACCACCUUGUUCUAAGUGCAACAGUAGCUCCUUUCUACCUGUUGGCUUUAAACUAUACUAACUGGUGAUUUCUCUAGGAACAGACUUCCUGCUUUCUGUUCUAUAUAUAUUUAUUCCAUUAUACAGUAAAAUACAUUGAACUACAUAGAAUAAUUUUGUAUAUUCUCUCUGAAUCCUAAAGAUUGUAUCUUAAUAAAAUAUCCCACUGUGUAUUAUUUUUAUAUGUAAAAAGAUAAGUUUAAUACUGUAUCAGGGUUUAACUUUUACUACUUUAAUCUUCCACAGCUUGUAAUUUCAUUAAGAGAAUCCUUUUGCCAUUGUUAAUUUGCAUGGUAUGGGUCCACCGGUGAAGUGGAUCCACCAGCAAAGGUAUAGGUCCGUCAGUGAAGUGUUACGUGGAAAUCUUUAAACUUGCUUUAAAAUGGUUUGAAGAAUUUGAGAGAAGUCAGUGAAAGUUAAAAUGCCUAAAAGGGAUAUUAGUAACUUUUGCUCCAAGAAUUAGAUAUGAAGUAGUAUAGUACUGUAAUAUUUUAAAAAGAGUUAAAUUUUUAGCUGGCUAUAUAGUGGUGCUUUGCUUUUUCUUCCCAGUUGUUUCCAUUUUUACAAAAUGCAGGCUUAAGUAGGACAUGGACCUGGGGUGAUACUAAUGUGUUCUUCAUAAAGAAAGAGCAAACAGCUUAUUAGCUAGUUAAGUGCUAGAGAAGAAAAGAAACAAGCUUAGGAAACCCUGUGCCUUGUCCCCAAAUAGCAAGAAGGAAACCAGUCCUAGAAAGUCUAAAUCAAGUGCUCAGGGAUCUAGAUACUGUCUCAUUGCAAGUAGAUGUAAAGUAGCAUUCAUGUGGUCAGUUCAUCAAUUAUUAAAUUGAAACUUAAAAGUCAACUCUCAUAUACAAGCUCUGACCAACUGAGAAAAUGUUGAAAAAUAUUGUUUUAAAAGUUGGAAAUUGUAUUAAUUUGAGUUUCUAAUAAACUUAGUUACCUAACA